AUGGAACUGGAGGGGAUUAUGCUGAGUGAAAGAGCCUUGAAUCAAAAGAGAGGAUGGAAUCUCUGGCUUGAACAAAGAAGUGGUGUAAAAGGUAAGGACAGGAACCUUUCUUACUACUUGGAAGGGCCAGUAGGAGGCAAGUUACUUUCACAGCUAAUACUUACUCCUGAUGAGAAGUAAUGCUCCAGUGUAGGUGGUGCCAUCAUUUUUUUUUUUUUUUUAUAGGUGGGGAUACUGAAGCUCAAAGGGUCAAUAUUUUGCCCCAGGGCACACAGUUAAUACGAGACUAAGCUGAGUGUGUCUGCUUCCAGCUCAAGUUCUUUUUCCCAUAGAAUAAAUAGCUCCCCUGGUGUCGUAUUGUUUUGGAGUGUUCUCGUGAUCUUUUAUGUGUAUGUAUAUUUGAAUUUUUUUUUUUAAGAAUUUAUUUAUUUGAGAGAAAGAGUGAGAGAGAGAUCAUGAACCAGGGGAAAGGGAAGAGGGAGAAGCAGACACACCACUGAGCAGGGAGCCUGAUGACACUCCAUCCCAGGACCCCGAGAUCAUGACCUGAAAUGAUGGCAGAUGCUUAACCAACUGAGCUACCCAGGUGCCCUGAAAUGUUUUUAUUUAUCUACUUCAAUCUCACUAAUACAAUUUUGAAAAUACAAAAGAGUAUACACAUAGGUAUGGAUGCACACAAAAUGGUUCUGUCCUGACUUCAACCGCUUUGGAGAACCUCAUAGGUACAGUAAUGGGCCCUGAGAAAGGUCUCCUUUCUUUUCUUUGUUGAUAUAUUCUUAAAUAUUUUUUCCCCAGACCUUCCCCCCACCCCCAGGGCAAUUUCUGAUGAAAUUACAAUAAAAAUGUAUAUACAGUUUCAACUUUUUAAAAAAUAUUUUAUUUAUUUAUUUAACAGAGAGCGAGAGAUCACAAGUAGGCAGAGAGGCGGGGGGAGGAGGGAGCAGGCUCCCUGCUGAGCAGAGAGCCCGAUGUGGGGCUCCAUCCCAGGACCCUGAGACCAUGAGGCUUUAACCCACUGAGCCACCCAGGUGCCCAUAGU
rnacentral:lncRNA from 1 species